AACGAACGCUGGCGGCAGGCCUAACACAUGCAAGUCGAAGGAGAAGCCGGGCUUCGGCCCGGUGGAAACUGGCGCACGGGUGAGUAACGCGUGGGUAUCUACCUUGGGGUGGGGAAUAACCGCUGGAAACGGCGGCUAAUACCGCAUACGCCUUUAGAGGGAAAGCUCCGGCGCCCUAAGAGGAGCCCGCGUUGGAUUAGCUUGUUGGUGGGGUAACGGCCCACCAAGGCUACGAUCUAUAGCUGGUCUGAGAGGAUGAUCAGCCACACUGGGACUGAGACACGGCCCAGACUCCUACGGGAGGCAGCAGUGGGGAAUAUUGGACAAUGGGCGCAAGCCUGAUCCAGCCAUGCCGCGUGAGUGAAGAAGGCCUUAGGGUUGUAAAGCUCUUUCACCUGCGAAGAUGAUGACGGUAGCAGGAGAAGAAGCCCCGGCUAACUCCG
rnacentral:rRNA from 1 species